rnacentral:lncRNA from 1 species
ACCAUCGAAAGAUUUUGCUAUCCACCUAAACCGCAACUAUUUUCAUCUGAACCAAGGGAAGCAUCGAAAUUUAUUUUUAACACAUCCCUAGGUGGCGCCUCCCAAUGAGUUAACAUUCUUCCAACUGCUCGAAACGAAUGUGGACUAAGAACAACUGAGAACGCUCCUCGCAAUUCCAUGAUGAACUUCUUGGCGAAAACAAUGACAUCCAUAGUUGAAUAAUGUACUUCCUCGAAACAACACGUAUUUCUCUUAUUCCAAAUGGCCCAACACAAUACAACACAAUAUUCAACUUGUGCACUAUCCUGCCUUUUCAUGCGCAUGAACCAAUCGAGAAAAUUUCGCUAUCUCGGCCAAAGUGUCGACCAUAGCACUCCACUUAGCGCCUACACUUGUCUAGCGAAAGAGCACAUUGAUAGGCAAUGGAGAACAUCUUCGUCGUCAUCAGUGCAUACUUUCCAUGUGC